rnacentral:tRNA from 1 species
GUCCAGGGGCGGGAAUCGAACCCACAACCUUCUGCUUACCGGGCAGGUGCCAUGUUCACUAGGCUACCCUGGA